CGCGUGAGGAACCUGCCUUUCAGUGGGGGACAACAGUUGGAAACGACUGCUAAUACCGCAUGAAGCAUUUAGGGGGCAUCCCCUGAAUGCCAAAGAUUUAUUGCUGAAAGAUGGCCUCGCGUCUGAUUAGCUAGUUGGAGGGGUAACGGCCCACCAAGGCGACGAUCAGUAGCCGGUCUGAGAGGAUGAACGGCCACAUUGGGACUGAGAUACGGCCCAGACUCCUACGGGAGGCAGCAGUGGGGAAUAUUGGGCAAUGGGGGAAACCCUGACCCAGCAACGCCGCGUGAAGGAAGAAGGCUUUCGGGUUGUAAACUUCUUUUACCAGGGACGAAGAAAGUGACGGUACCUGGAGAAAAAGCCACGGCUAACUACGUGCCAGCAGCCGCGGUAAUACGUAGGUGGCAAGCGUUGUCCGGAUUUACUGGGUGUAAAGGGCGUGUAGGCGGAGAUUCAAGUCAGGAGCGAAAACUAUGGGCUUAACCCAUAAACUGCUUUUGAAACUGAAUCCCUUGAGUAUCGGAGAGGCAGGCGGAGUUCCUAGUGUAGCGG
rnacentral:rRNA from 1 species